CGCGCAGGCUGUAGAUCAAGUCAGCUGUGAAAUGUCUGGGCUUAACCCGGGCAUGCGGUUGAAACUGAUGUACUGGAGUGCUGUAGAGGCAAGUGGAAUUCCCAGUGUAGCGGUGAAAUGCGUAGAUAUUGGGAAGAACACCGGUGGCGAAGGCGACUUGCUGGGCAGCAACUGACGCUGAGGCGCGAAAACCAGGGGAGCAAACG
rnacentral:rRNA from 1 species